rnacentral:rRNA from 1 species
CCUACGUGAGGCAGCAGUGAGGAAUAUUGGUCAAUGGGCGCGAGCCCGAACCAGCCAAGUCGCGUGAGGGAAGACGGUCCUAUGGAUUGUAAACCUCUUUUGUCGGGGAGCAAAAGACGCCACGCGUGGCGUUCCGAGAGUACCCGAAGAAAAAGCAUCGGCUAACUCCGUGCCAGCAGCCGCGGUAAUACGGAGGAUGCGAGCGUUAUCCGGAUUUAUUGGGUUUAAAUGGGGCGCAGGCGGAAGGUCAAGUCAGCGGUAAAAGUGAGAGGCUCAACCUCUUCGAGCCGUUGAAACUGGUGUGCUUGAGUGAGUGAGAAGUAUGCGGAAUGCGUGGUGUAGCGGUGAAAUGCAUAGAUAUCACGCAGAACUCCGAUUGCGAAGGCAGCAUACCGGCGCUCAACUGACGCUCAUGCACGAAAGUGUGGGUAUCGAACAGGAUUAGAUACCCGGGUAGUC